UGGGGAAUUUUGGACAAUGGGCGCAAGCCUGAUCCAGCCAUUCCGCGUGCAGGACGAAGGCCUUCGGGUUGUAAACUGCUUUUGUACGGAGCGAAAGGGUCCUGCCUAAUACGUGGGGCAUAUGACGGUACCGUAAGAAUAAGCACCGGCUAACUACGUGCCAGCAGCCGCGGUAAUACGUAGGGUGCGAGCGUUAAUCGGAAUUACUGGGCGUAAAGCGUGCGCAGGCGGUUUUGCAAGACAGUGGUGAAAUCCCCGGGCUCAACCUGGGAACGGCCAUUGUGACUGCAAGGCUGGAGUGCGGCAGAGGGGGAUGGAAUUUCGCGUGUAGCAGUGAAAUGCGUAGAUAUGCGAAGGAACACCGAUGGCGAAGGCAAUCCCCUGGGCCUGCACUGACGCUCAUGCACGAAAGCGUGGGGAGCAAACA
rnacentral:rRNA from 1 species